UACGGGGGGGCAAGCGUUGUUCGGAAUUACUGGGCGUAAAGGGCUCGUAGGCGGCCAACUAAGUCAGACGUGAAAUCCCUCGGCGUAACCGGGGAACUGCGUCUGAUACUGGAUGGCUUGAAUCCGGGAGAGGGAUGCGGAAUUCCAGGUGUAGCGGUGAAAUGCGUAGAUAUCUGGAGGAACACCGGUGGCGAAGGCGGCAUCCUGGACCAACACUGACACUGAUGAGCGAAAGCCAGGGGAGCAAACGGG
rnacentral:rRNA from 1 species